AGGGAUGGAGGACCAGGCAGGGAGGGGGGCCGGAGAAGCGAAAGAGAUAGAUCAAAAAGAGGAAAGAAGAGGGACUGGGAAGCUAGGGCGACUGAGGAUACGCCGAGGUCUAGUCCGGCUUGGCAGCGCGAACUAGAGAGCUUUGCGAGCCGCGGGGCUGGGAAGUCAGGGCAUAAGGGCCAGGCCUGCCCUCUGGUGCUUUCGGCUCCUCGGGCCCCCGACUUUAAAGUGCUCAAGUUGGGGUCGGCGCCAUCAUGACGCCUGAGACUGAGAAGAAAAAGUUACAAGUAAUAGAAGAACUAACUCAUUCAGGAGCCCGAAGAAAGGAACAGAACUUCUAGUGUGAGAUGCUGAGACCGCCUCACUGUGAAAGGUGUUCCCUGUCCAUUCUGAUAAGAGGGGGACUGCACAGCUUGGAUUGAUUCAUGUCUCUUGCUUGGAUCCUGCAACAUCUGACUACAGUGCAGGAAAUAAGACAGGACAGCAUGAGCCGGAAUCAACUGUAUCAUUGGAAUAUGUAUUUUAGCAACUGACUCUCCUAUGAAAGCAACAGUAAAUUAACAGAGGGUCAAACAACUCAAGAUUCUGUCAGUAAUUAGUUGUUGUGAUGUAUUCAUUGACUUGACUAUCCUGAAGGUUACCCUGACAGCUGGAUUCUGAGUGAGUUCUUCAGGUUGCUUGAGGAAAGGCUAACAUCUGAGUCAGUGAGCACUAUGGCUGACUCUUGGAUAUCAUCUGUAACCCUAUUCCCUUGACAAUGAAUAACACUGAAUUCAAUUAAAAUCUGACCCAAACAAGAAGGAGCCUGAAGCUACAGUCUGUCUACAUGAAAAACAAAUUGGGAACUCAGUAGGAAAAGACACUUGCCUCCUAACCUGACCACCAGGGUUCUAUUCCCUAGACCAGCAUGGUUGAAGAGAAGACAAACUCCCAUAAGGUCUCCUCUGGCUUCAACACUGUCCUCAGGGUCUGCAUCUGGCCACACAUACACAUGUUACCUAAUUCAAUCUUUCAUUAAUAAAGUUCCAAUAAAAGAAGUGAGCAA
rnacentral:lncRNA from 1 species